rnacentral:rRNA from 1 species
UGGGGAAUAUUGCACAAUGGGGGAAACCCUGAUGCAGCGACGCCGCGUGAGCGAUGAAGGCUUUCGAGUCGUAAAGCUCUGUCCUAUGGGAAGAUAAUGACGGUACCUCAAGAAAAAGCCCCGGCUAACUACGUGCCAGCAGCCGCGGUAAUACGUAGGGGGCUAGCGUUGUCCGGAAUCACUGGGCGUAAAGGGUUCGCAGGCGGAAUAACAAGUCAGAUGUGAAAGGCAUGGGCUCAACCCAUGUAAGCAUUUGAAACUGUAAUUCUUGAGAAGUGGAGAGGUAAGUGGAAUUCCUAGUGUAGCGGUGAAAUGCGUAGAUAUUAGGAGGAAUACCGGUGGCGAAGGCGACUUACUGGACACAAAUCUGACGCUGAGGAACGAAAGCGUGGGUAGCAAACAGG